rnacentral:rRNA from 1 species
AGUGAACGCUGGCGGUAGGCCUAACACAUGCAAGUCGAACGGCAGCACAGUAAGAGCUUGCUCUUACGGGUGGCGAGUGGCGGACGGGUGAGGAGUACAUCGGAAUCUACUUUUUCGUGGGGGAUAACGUAGGGAGACUUACGCUAAUACCGCAUACGACCUACGGGUGAAAGCAGGGGAUCUUCGGACCUUGCGCGAUUGAAUGAGCCGAUGUCGGAUUAGCUAGUUGGCGGGGUAAAGGCCCACCAAGGCGACGAUCCGUAGCUGGUCUGAGAGGAUGAUCAGCCACACUGGAACUGAGACACGGUCCAGACUCCUACGGGAGGCAGCAGUGGGGAAUAUUGGACAAUGGGCGCAAGCCUGAUCCAGCCAUACCGCGUGGAUGAAGAAGGCCUUCGGGUUGUAAAGCCCUUUUGUUGGGAAAGAAAAGCAGCAGGUUAAUACCCCGCUGUUCUGACGGUACCCAAAGAAUAAGCACCGGCUAACUUCGUG